GAGGCCAAACCUCAAUGAGUUGAAUAUAUGUUUAACUCCAAGACAUAGAUUGAUUACGUAUAGUAGUGUAUUCAAUUUAAUAACCCUUCUGGUAGUGGGAA
rnacentral:sRNA from 23 species